UUUUUUCUAUAAUAGAAAAUAAAUUCUGCUAAUUGUUUAGUUAUAUUUUUUAUAAUUUUAACUAAAUGAAAAGCCGCAGUAUAUUGACUGUGCUAAGGUAGCAUAAUUACUUGUUAGCUAAAUACUAAAUUGUUUGAAGGAGUUAAUGAAAAAUUUGAUAUGUAUUAAAUCAAAUUUAAUUUUUCUUUUUAGUAAAAAAACUAAAUUUGUGUUUAAUUAAGACGAGAAGACCCUAAAAAGUUUUAGUAUAAAUUAAUAACUUUACUUUAAAUAGGGCAUUUUUAAAUUAUUAAAUUUAAUUUUUAUCAUUAUUUUUAAUUAGUAUAAAUUAAAUUACUUUAGGGAUAACAGAAUAAAUUUUAUUUUAAGAACUUAUUUUUAUAAUAAUUAAUUUCACCUCGAUGUUGAAUCAAAUUAUCUUAUUUAGGAAGAAUUAAAUUUUAAGUUAACCUGUUCGGUUAUUAAAAAUUUACG
rnacentral:rRNA from 1 species